AGCGAACGCUGGCGGCAGGCCUAACACAUGCAAGUCGAACGAACCUUUCGGGGUUAGUGGCGGACGGGUGAGUAACACGUGGGAACAUGCCUUUAGGUUCGGAAUAACUCAGGGAAACUUGUGCUAAUACCGAAUGUGCCCUUCGGGGGAAAGAUUAAUCGCCUUUAGAGCGGCCCGCGUCUGAUUAGCUAGUUGGUUGAGGUAAUGGCUCACCAAGGCGACGAUCAGUAGCUGGUCUGAGAGGAUGAUCAGCCACAUUGGGACUGAGACACGGCCCAAACUCCUACGGGAGGCAGCAGUGGGGAAUCAUGCGCAAUGGGCGAAAGCCUGACGCAGCCAUGCCGCGUGAAUGAUGAAGGUCUUAGGAUUGUAAAAUUCUUUCACCGGGGACGAUAAUGACGGUACCCGGAGAAGAAGCCCCGGCUAACUUCGUG
rnacentral:rRNA from 1 species